AGGGUUUUGGAAUAUAUCGUGCUGAUAACGUGUUGUAAUUAGAGAGUUUAGAGACUGAAUAUUUCUGUGUAUUAUUAAUGAUCAAGCGGAUUCCUUUAUAUAAGGAUUACAAGAUAAAGAUAAAAGAAAAGUGUACAUAUCCUUAUCCAAGAGGAAAUAGGAAAACUACUAAAACAUAGGAAAAAGAAACUAUUUAUAUCCU
rnacentral:lncRNA from 1 species